rnacentral:rRNA from 1 species
AUUGAACGCUGGCGGCAGGCCUAACACAUGCAAGUCGAACGGGUGGCGGCCGGGUGAGUAAUGUCUGGGAAACUGCCUGAUGGAGGGGGAUAACUACUGGAAACGGUAGCUAAUACAGCAUACCAUCGGAUGUGCCCAGAUGGGAUUAGCUAGUAGGUGGGGUAAAGGCUCACCAAGGCGACGAUCCCUAGCUGGUCUGAGAGGAUGACCGGCCACACUGGAACUGAGACACGGCCCAGACUCCUACGGGAGGCAGCAGUGGGGAAUCUUCGACAAUGGACGAAAGCCUGAUCCAGCCACGCCGCGUGUAUGAAGAAGGCCUUCGGGUUGUAAAGUACUGUCGGUGGGGAGGCGGUACCCGAAGAAGAAGCACCGGCUAACUCCGUGCCAGCAGCCGCGGUAAUAC